rnacentral:rRNA from 1 species
UGAGGAAUAUUGGUCAAUGGGCGCAAGCCUGAACCAGCCAAGUAGCGUGAGGGAAGACUGCCCUAUGGGUUGUAAACCUCUUUUGUGCGGGGAUAAAGUGAGGGACGUGUCCCUUAUUGCAGGUACCGCACGAAUAAGGACCGGCUAAUUCCGUGCCAGCAGCCGCGGUAAUACGGAAGGUCCGGGCGUUAUCCGGAUUUAUUGGGUUUAAAGGGAGCGCAGGCCGUCCUUUAAGCGUGCUGUGAAAUGCCGCGGCUCAACCGUGGCACUGCAGCGCGAACUGGAGGACUUGAGUACGCACGAGGUAGGCGGAAUUCGUGGUGUAGCGGUGAAAUGCUUAGAUAUCACGAAGAACUCCGAUUGCGAAGGCAGCUUACCGGAGCGCAACUGACGCUGAGGCUCGAAAGCGCGGGUAUCGAACA